UAGGUGGCCCAACCCGGGUUCUAGGUGGCCCCAGGGGGUUCUAGGUGGCCCAAGGGGGAUCUGGGGACCCAAUGAGGAGUCUGGGUGGCCCAAUGGGGAGUCUAGGUGGACUGACGUGGUUCUGGGUGGCCCAAUGAGGUUCUGGGUGGCCCAAUGGGGGGUUCUGGGUGGCCCAAUGGGGGUGUGUGUGGGUGCCCUGAUGGGGUUCUAGGUGGCCCAAUAGGGUUCUGGGUGCCCUGACGGGGUUCUGGGUGGCCUGAUGGGGUUGUAGGUGCCCUAAGGGGGGGGGGUCUGGGUGGCCCAUUGGGAUUCUGGGUGCCCUGAUGGGGUUCUAGGUGGCCCAACGGGGUUCUGGGUGCCCUGACAGGGUUCUGGGGGGCCCAAUGAGGAGUCUGGGUGACCUAAUGGGGUUCUGGGUGGUCCAAUGGGGGUCUGGGUGGCCCAUUGGGAUUCUGGGUGCCCUGAUGGGGUUCUAGGUGGCCCAAUAGGGUUCUGGGUGCCCUGACGGGGUUCUGGGUGGCCUGAUGGGGUUCUAGGUGGCCCAACCGGGUUCUGGGUGGCCUGACGACGAUCUAGGUGGCCCAACACGCCCUCCCCCGUGUUCUCCCCCCUCCCUCCCCCAACAACCCCCACCCCGGACUCACCCCUGGAAGCAGUGGGCGGCCGACAGCACCCACUGGGGGGCGACGAGGGUGCCCCCGCAGAAAUGCCGCCCCCGCAGCUGGAGGCUCACCUGCCAGGGCCACUCUCCGGGCCGGGCCGCCGCGCCCCCCACCACGCGGCCCAGCUCCCGCCGCUGCCCGCACUCGAGAUCUGCGGCGGGCACCCGUCAGCGAGGCCGUCGGGGUUCCCCCCCCC